rnacentral:rRNA from 1 species
CCAGACUCCUACGGGAGGCAGCAGUAGGGAAUCUUCGGCAAUGGACGAAAGUCUGACCGAGCAACGCCGCGUGAGUGAAGAAGGUUUUCGGAUCGUAAAGCUCUGUUGUAAGUCAAGAACAUGUGUGAGAGUGGAAAGUUCACACAGUGACGGUAGCUUACCAGAAAGGGACGGCUAACUACGUGCCAGCAGCCGCGGUAAUACGUAGGUCCCGAGCGUUGUCCGGAUUUAUUGGGCGUAAAGGGAGCGCAGGCGGUCAGGAAAGUCUGGAGUAAAAGGCUAUGGCUCAACCAUAGUGUGCUCUGGAAACUGUCUGACUUGAGUGCAGAAGGGGAGAGUGGAAUUCCAUGUGUAGCGGUGAAAUGCGUAGAUAUAUGGAGGAACACCAGUGGCGAAAGCGGCUCUCUGGUCUGUCACUGACGCUGAGGCUCGAAAGCGUGGGUAGCGAACAGGAUUAGAUACCCUGGUAGUCCACGCCGUAAACGAUGAGUGCUAGGUGUUAGGCCCUUUCCGGGGCUUAGUGCCGGAGCUAACGCAAUAAGCACUCCGCCUGGGGAGUACGACCGCAAGGUUGAAACUCAAAGGAAUUGACGGGGGCCCGCACAAGAC